AGGCCUAACACAUGCAAGUCGAGGGGCAGCACAUGAAGCAGCAAUGCGGAUGGUGGCGACCGGCGCACGGGUGAGUAACGCGUAUGCAACCUACUACAACAGGGGGAUAACCCGUUGAAAGACGGACUAAUACCCCAUAACACAGGGGUUCCGCAUGGGACUAUUUGUUAAAGAUUAAUCGGUUGUAGAUGGGCAUGCGUUCCAUUAGCUGGUUGGUGAGGUAACGGCUCACCAAGGCAACGAUGGAUAGGGGAACUGAGAGGUUUAUCCCCCACACUGGUACUGAGACACGGACCAGACUCCUACGGGAGGCAGCAGUGAGGAAUAUUGGUCAAUGGACGCAAGUCUGAACCAGCCACGUCGCGUGAAGGAAGACGGCCCUACGGGUUGUAAACUUCUUUUGUAAGGGAAUAAAGUGCAGUACGCGUACUGUUUUGCAUGUACCUUACGAAUAAGGAUCGGCUAACUCCGUGCCAGCCGCCGCGGUAAUUC
rnacentral:rRNA from 1 species